rnacentral:rRNA from 1 species
AUUGAACGCUGGCGGAAUGCUUUACACAUGCAAGUCGAGCGGCAGCGCGGCCUUCGGGCUGGCGGCGAGCGGCGAACGGGUGAGUAAUGCAUCGGAACAUGCCCAGUCGUGGGGGAUAACACUUCGAAAGAAGUGCUAAUACCGCAUACGUCCUGAGGGGGAAAGCGGGGGAUCGCAAGACCUCGCGCGAUUGGAGUGGCCGAUGUCAGAUUAGCUAGUUGGUGGGGUAAAGGCCUACCAAGGCGACGAUCUGUAGCUGGUCUGAGAGGAUGAUCAGCCACACUGGGACUGAGACACGGCCCAGACUCCUACGGGAGGCAGCAGUGGGGAAUUUUGGACAAAGGGGGCAACCCUGAUCCAGCCAGUCCGCGUGAGUGAAGAAGGCCUUCGGGUUGUAAAGCUCUUUCGGCAGGAACGAAACGGUGGGCUCUAACAUAGUCCGCUAAUGACGGUACCUGAAGAAGAAGCACCGGCUAACUACGUG